GAUGAGCGCUGGCGGCGUGCCUAAUACAUGCCAGUCGAGCGAACAGAUAAGGAGCUUGCUCCUUUGACGUUAGCGGCGGACGGGUGAGUAACACGUGGGUAACCUACCUAUAAGACUGGGAUAACUUCGGGAAACCGGAGCUAAUACCGGAUAAUAUUUCGAACCGCAUGGUUCGAUAGUGAAAGAUGGUUUUGCUAUCACUUAUAGAUGGACCCGCGCCGUAUUAGCUAGUUGGUAAGGUAACGGCUUACCAAGGCGACGAUACGUAGCCGACCUGAGAGGGUGAUCGGCCACACUGGAACUGAGACACGGUCCAGACUCCUACGGGAGGCAGCAGUAGGGAAUCUUCCGCAAUGGGCGAAAGCCUGACGGAGCAACGCCGCGUGAGUGAUGAAGGUCUUCGGAUCGUAAAACUCUGUUAUUAGGGAAGAACAUACGUGUAAGUAACUGUGCACGUCUUGACGGUACCUAAUCAGAAAGCCACGGCUAACUACGUG
rnacentral:rRNA from 1 species